CGCUGAAGCUUGGUGCUUGCACCGAGCGGAAGAGUUGCGAACGGGUGAGUAACGCGUAGGUAACCUGCCUCUUAGCGGGGGAUAACUAUUGGAAACGAUAGCUAAUACCGCAUAAAAGUCGGCAUUGCAUGAUGUUGACUUGAAAGGUGCAACUGCAUCACUAAGAGAUGGACCUGCGUUGUAUUAGCUAGUUGGUGAGGUAACGGCUCACCAAGGCGACGAUACAUAGCCGACCUGAGAGGGUGAUCGGCCACACUGGGACUGAGACACGGCCCAGACUCCUACGGGAGGCAGCAGUAGGGAAUCUUCGGCAAUGGACGGAAGUCUGACCGAGCAACGCCGCGUGAGUGAAGAAGGUUUUCGGAUCGUAAAGCUCUGUUGUAAGAGAAGAACGAGUGUGAGAGUGGAAAGUUCACACUGUGACGGUAACUUACCAGAAAGGGACGGCUAACUACGUGCCAGCAGCCGCGGUAAUACGUAGGUCCCGAGCGUUAUCCGGAUUUAUUGGGCGUAAAGCGAGCGCAGGCGGUUAGAUAAGUCUGAAGUUAAAGGCUGUGGCUUAACCAUAGUACGCUUUGGAAACUGUUUGACUUGAGUGCAGAAGGGGAGAGUGGAAUUCCAUGUGUAGCGGUGAAAUGCGUAGAUAUAUGGAGGAACACCGGUGGCGAAAGCGGCUCUCUGGUCUGUAA
rnacentral:rRNA from 1 species